CUGCGGCGGAUGUUGCGUAAAGGGAAAGGUCGUAGUCAAACCCCACAGCCACGCGAACUCUAAGUCAGCCACGAAUAGGCUAUCCCAACUAACGGCGGGAAAGACUCCACGGAGGGUGUAAGACCCGUGUGGGCGCGUGUUAAAGCUGUGCGGGCUCGGCCUCUAUUCCCUGAGAGUCGCGUUGCUUGAGCAUGCAGCGCUAAGCAGGUCGUAAACUCGAUCUAAGGCUAAAUAUCUCCACAGAACCGAUAGCGAACAAGUACCGUGAGGGAAAGUUGAAAAGCACUCUGGAGAGAGAGUCAAAAGACCGUGAAACCGCUCAGAGUAUAAGCCCAUGGCAGCUUGGAAGGCAUAUCGAAAGCGGGGCAUCGGUCUGCCUUCGCGGGUGGUCGGUGUUACCUUGCUUCUGUUGUGGCUCGUCAAGGUAGGGGGGUCAGGUCCACAUCCCGCCGUCGUGUGGGGGGUUCUUGGGUGUGUUGUGGUUUUUCGGUUGGCUUCGGCUGGCCGGAGGGCCCUUCGUGCUCGGUUCCUCUUUUGACACGGACGUUCAGACUCAGAGGCAAGACGCGAUAAACAGCCCACCACGGCACGUUGUGAGGUCACCCACAGGCUCGACUUUCGAUCGUGAACCUUGACGCCGAGCAAGCACAAUGCGUGUCGCAAAUGUUCCUAACCAGGCAACGCUGCCAGGACCGUGGAACGACACGCGCUCAACAGUCAGGUUCGGGCGGAGACAGAGUUCUGGUAUGAUCCUCUUGCGACGAGCCGGCUUCUGGCCAACAUCCGAUGCUCAGGUCUCCCGCAUGUGCCGCGGGAGAUCGCCUUGACGGUCUGGAUCUUUCACGAGUCCUCUCAGUCGGGCACGGA
rnacentral:rRNA from 1 species